UUUCAUUUUAGAAAAGAAAAACAAAAAAGAGACUAUAGAGACGCGAGAGUAAUAGAAGGAUAUCCAUUUUUUUAGAAUCUACCUGUUCCUCUCACAACUCACAAGCCCAGCCAACAGCUUGCAAGCUGGAUUCAUCCCUCCUAAAUAAAAAUAAUAAAACUCAGAAAUGUCCACGCCCAUUCCCUUCACUCCCAGUCUCUGCUUCUACUCUCUCUCUCUCUCCCUUCCUCCCCCUCCCUCUGUGAGAUUGUUAGGAACUCCUUUCCGAUGAAUUGUCUUCAGAAUCUUCCCAGCUCAUAUGUUUUGCCCUUGCAAAGCUUCAAAAGCCAUAAAAGAAAGCUUUCUUCCUCUGUCAGUGUUCUGGGAAGGAUGAAUUCUACCGACCUGUGCCGGAGUAUUGCUGCGAAGGCAAUCUCUGGUUCCACAUCCGACGCUGAGAUGAGUGGAUCUGAAAUAGAGGAGGAAAAAUCUACGGCAUAUAGUCAUAACAUGACAGAAGCUAUGGGUGCUGUCUUGACAUAUCGGCAUGAACUGGGGAUGAACUACAAUUUCAUUCGUCCAGACUUGAUUGUUGGGUCAUGCUUACAGACUCCUGAAGAUGUUGACAAGCUUCGAAAUGUCGGAGUGAAAACCAUUCUUUGCUUGCAGCAAGAUCCAGAUCUUGAAUAUUUUGGGGUUGAUAUAAGUGCCAUACGUGAGUAUGCAAAAACAUAUGAUGACAUCCAACACUUACGUGCUGAAAUAAGGGACUUUGAUGCCUUUGAUCUAAGGAUGCGGCUGCCUGCUGUUGUUGGCAAAUUACACAAGGCUGUAAAUCGGAAUGGAGGUGUAACUUACAUACAUUGCACAGCUGGACUUGGGAGAGCUCCUGCUGUUGCGUUGGCUUACAUGUUCUGGGUUCAGGGCUAUAAACUUAGUGAAGCUCACACUUUGUUGCAGAGUAAACGUCCAAGCUUUCCGAAGUUGGAUGCUAUAAAAAAUGCGACUGCUGACAUUCUUGCAGGCUUCACAAAGAAGCAUGUCACAUUGACAUGGGAAGGUGACAACAGUUCCACUGUGGAAAUUUCUGGACUUGAUUUUGGAUGGGGCCAGGUAAUGAUAUUUUUUUGAAUUUUUUUUCUUGAGCUCUAAAAACCAUUCCAGGUACAUUUAAAAGUUUACUUUGGUGUGAUGUAUAUAUGUUUGGACAUUUUAUAAUUGGCAAGAGUCAUAUGCUGCUAUCUUAUAAGUGCAAAUGCAAUGAUUUUGUCUUAUUCUGGAUACCAACUUUUUCUUGAUCUUUUUACAAUGUUUUUUUUUACCAAUAUGGCGAAUUGUGUGUAACAUGGUUGGUUGCAUAGAGUAUUUUCAAGUGAUGCUCUGCCUUACCUAAACAAGGCAUGUUAUUCCUCAUGUUCAGGCAAUGGGUGAAAAUGUUUCAACAUGAAAAAUUAUUUUUUUCUCUCCGAAUGAUAAAAAAUAAAUAAAAAUAAAAAAUAAAAAAAAUUCCAUGCAGUUUUUGCAUACAUUUCUAGUGCUGUUUACUGUAUUUCUAACAUUUCAUUCUUCAUUGAAAGAUUUGUAUUGUUUUUCCACUCUUAGAAGUUCCCAGCCAGGGAGUAUGUGUUAUUGUGUUUUACAUGCAAAGCGGAAGAGGAAACUAGCUGCUGCUCGAUAUUAUUUUGUUCAGUGGCGAGGUAGUUUUGUGCUUUGCAUCUCCUUUGUUUGAUGUUCAUGGGUUAUGCAAGAGGCAGUAUGAGUUGGCGGGUAGGUGUAACAUGUGCAAAGUGAAAGGAAACCAUCUGCCACUUGUUAUUGUUUUGUUCAGGGGCAAGGGAGCUCUGGGCCUUGCUUCUUGCUUCAUUUGGUGUUCACUGCGUUAUGCCAACAAUGUUGGAAUGCUGGCUGCAGGAAUGCCAGUUGAACUAGAAAACAGGAUACAGAAAGGAGACUUACUUUUGAGGAGAGAGAGGAAAAUUAGGUGAUCCUACAGGAGAAGAAAGAUGAUCAUGAUGUUGUGGCUGCCCUCUGAUAAAAUCCAAUGUAUGGUUCCUGAAGGAUGCUUUGCUAUGAUAUUUUCUCUAAUUCUCUCAAAUCAAGCAUGAGAGUUCAAGACUUGUCUUGUAGAGGAAUGAUUUCUGUUAGUCAAUGUAUGUUAUCUAGAUUGUUUGGUUCAUAUGCUUGUUGGCUGUUUGUUUCAAUGCUAGAUGACAACCUAAAUGCUUUCUGAAACAGAGAUGACAACUGUGUGUUGGACAUUGAUUUUCUGUCCUCAGAGAAACUCAAGUUGAAAGGAGUGUUAUGAGAAAUAUGCUUUUAGAAUUGUGUUCUUUUACACAUUAGAAGACUUGGGGAUGAUAUAGUAAAUGUUAAUAUGCUUUUAGAAUUGUCUUCUUUUAGAAGACUUGGGAAUGAUAUUGUGCUUUAAUUCAGUUUCAAUGAGUC